UAUUAAAAUUUUCAUCUAUUUUUACUGUUAAAAUCAGUGUAGUUGACAGAAUAACCAGACAGUUACAUGUGUUGUGUUAUGUGUAUUUUAUGUUGGCGCACAAGAACUAAUUGUUAAUAAUAGAAAUAGAUGAAUCUUUAACA
rfam:Gossypium arboreum cultivar AKA8401 contig_16_21, whole genome shotgun sequence.